rnacentral:rRNA from 1 species
CUACGGGACGCUGCAGUGGGGAAUAUUGCGCAAUGGGCGCAAGCCUGAUGCAGCCAUGCCGCGUGUAUGAAGAAGGCCUUCGGGUUGUAAAGUACUUUCAGCGGGGAGGAAGGGAGUAAAGUUAAUACCUUUGCUCAUUGACGUUACCCGCAGAAGAAGCACCGGCUAACUCCGUGCCAGCAGCCGCGGUAAUACGGAGGGUGCAAGCGUUAAUCGGAAUUACUGGGCGUAAAGCGCACGCAGGCGGUUUGUUAAGUCAGAUGUGAAAUCCCCGGGCUCAACCUGGGAACUGCAUCUGAUACUGGCAAGCUGGAGUCUCGUAGAGGGGGGUAGAAUUCCAGGUGUAGCGGUGAAAUGCGUAGAGAUCUGGAGGAAUACCGGUGGAGAAGGCGGCCCCCUGGACGAAGACUGACGCUCAGGUGCGAAAGCGUGGGGAGCAAACAGGAUUAGAUACCCUAGUAGUC